rnacentral:rRNA from 1 species
GGCAGCAGUGGGGAAUCUUCCGCAAUGGGCGCAAGCUUGACGGAGCAACGCCGCGUGAGUGAAGAAGGCCUUCGGGUUGUAAAACUCUGUCAUCAGGGAAGAAGAAAGUGACGGUACCUGAGGAGGAAGCCCCGGCUAACUACGUGCCAGCAGCCGCGGUAAAACGUAGGGGGCGAGCGUUGUCCGGAAUUACUGGGCGUAAAGGGCGCGUGGGCGGUUAUCCAAGUCAGGGGUGAAAACCUUGGGCUCAACUCAGGGCCUGCCUCUGAAACUGGGUAACUUGAGGGCAGGAGAGGGGAGUGGAAUUCCCAGUGUAGCGGUGGAAUGCGUAGAUAUUGGGAGGAACACCAGUGGCGAAGGCGGCUCUCUGGCCUAACCCUGACGCUGAGGCGCGAAAGCGUGGGGAUCAAACAGGAUUAGAUACCCUGGUAGCCCACGCCGUAAACGAUGAGUGCUAAGUGU